UACGUAGGUGGCAAGCGUUGUCCGGAAUUAUUGGGCGUAAAGCGCGCGCAGGCGGUCCUUUAAGUCUGAUGUGAAAUCACGUGGCUCAACCACGUGCGGUCAUUGGAAACUGGAGGACUUGAGUGCAGAAGAGGAAAGUGGAAUUCCAAGUGUAGCGGUGAAAUGCGUAGAGAUGGGGGAGAACACUCGUGGCGAAGGCGGCCAGCUAGACCAGUUCUGACACUGAGGCGCGACAGCGUGGGGAGCAAACAGG
rnacentral:rRNA from 1 species